UUAUAUUAAAGUUAUAUGAGUGCUUUUUUGAAAAGAUUAAAAAGGAAGUUCGGUGAGAGACCGACGCAGCCCCGCUACUGUAAGUACAGACAAAAUCUUAAUUAACCACUGGUGUAUUCCGGGAAGGUAAGAAAGUAGGAUGAAGUACAAGCCAGGAGACUUGCUUAUAUGAUAUAAAUGCU
rnacentral:ncRNA from 2 species